CCUACGGGAGGCAGCAGUGAGGAAUAUUGGUCAAUGGACGAGAGUCUGAACCAGCCAAGUAGCGUGAAGGAUGACUGCCCUAUGGGUUGUAAACUUCUUUUAUAUGGGAAUAAAAUGUUCCACGUGUGGGAUUUUGUAUGUACCAUAUGAAUAAGGAUCGGCUAACUCCGUGCCAGCAGCCGCGGUAAUACGGAGGAUCCGAGCGUUAUCCGGAUUUAUUGGGUUUAAAGGGAGCGUAGGUGGAUUGUUAAGUCAGUUGUGAAAGUUCGCGGCUCAACCGUAAAAUGGCAGUUGAAACUGGCAGGCUUGAGUACAGGAGAGGUGGGCGGAAUUCGUGGUGUAGCGGUGAAAUGCUUAGAUAUCACGAAGAACUCCGAUUGCGAAGGCAGCUCACUGGACUGCAACUGACACUGAGGCUCGAAAGUGUGGGUAUCAAACAGGAUUAGAUACCCUAGUAGUC
rnacentral:rRNA from 1 species